UGGUGAUGUUCCUUAUGCAUUGCUAAGUUUAAAAAUGUAUAAUUUUAAGUCACCAUAAAAAAUUUAAAACAUUUUCACCCAAGUAAGUUUCAACUAGUGGUUGAAAAAUGUUACUCUGGUAUUUGCAUGUUUUAACAUCU